CGUAGAACAUUAAUCGUUGAACAAACGAACCUUGGUAGCGGCUUCACCACCGGGGUGUUCUGAUCCAACAUCGAGGUCGUAAACCCCCUUGGUGAUAUGGACUCUUGAAGGGGAUGGCGCUGUUAUCCCUGGGGUAACUUGGUUCGAUGAUCAGUUUUACUGGGUCAGAAAAACCACAGGUUCCAGUGGGCUUGUAGGCCUUUUGGCGAGGUUAGUCUGGUUUCAUGGAGUUCUGUUUUUCUCCGUAGUCGCCCCAACUUAAAGCUGUGGUACUAUGCUAGGCUGUCGGUGUCUGGGGUGGGUCUAUUAGUUUUAAGCUUAAUAAGCUCCACAGGGUCUUUUCGUCUUGCGUGGGUAUCUCAGCUUUUGUACUGAGAGAUCAGUUUCAUAGGCUGGCUAUAGGAGACAGUUGGACCCUCAUGUGACCAUUCAUACAGGUCCUUAAUUAGAGGACAGGUGAUUACGCUACCUUUGCACGGUUAUGAUACCGCGGCCGUUAAAU
rnacentral:rRNA from 1 species